UGCAGUCGUUAAUCAAAGGACAGCAGCAGCCACUGACACCGGGCCUGUCUGUGGACCGAGUGCUCAUGCGCGGCACUGCCUCACCCGCGUCUGUCCUGCUGGGGGCCGGAGCUGGCCUGGUGCGGGGGUCCAGGUCACCGUCACUGUUCCCCCACUGAGCCCCCGCUCCUCCUCUGCGGUGAGAUGCCGGAGCUGUGGCGGAGCGAGGAGGAGUGGGCUCAGAGCCUCCGGGGAGCCACUGGGAGCCCCAGCCUGGGUUUAAAUGAGGGUGCUCCUGGCCGCCAGAGCCGUGGAGCCUGCCGCUGACCGCGCGUGUCUCCCCAGAGGAUGACGGCCGAGGCGCACCGGCGCGUGGUGGUGGAGUACCUGCGGGCGGUCAUGCAGAAGCGCAUUUCCUUCCGGAGCCCGGAGGAGCGCAAGGAGGGUGCCGAGAAGAUGGUUCGGGAGGCAGAGCAGCUGCGCUUCCUGUUCCGGAAGCUGGCGUCCGGUUUCGGGGAAGGCGUGGACGGAUACUGCGACACCAUCGUGGCUGUGGCCGAAGUGAUCAAGCUGACAGACCCUUCUCUGCUCUACCUGGAGGUCUCCACUCUGGUCAGCAAGUAUCCAGACAUCAGGUAAGGGAUGCACGUCUUAGAAUCCUGGAGUGGAGCGGCAGGUCCCUCCUUCUGUCUGGGGCGGGUGGGGCUCCUGGUUCGCAAGUUCAGCCCUGCAGCACGGCAAGGGUUCAGGUGCGGCACAGCGGGGCCCAGGCGCGGGGAGCAGAGCGGCUUCUGUGCUGCCUUCCGCCUGGCCUGGGCUACAGUGUGGGUGGGUGGAGCUCGAGGGGCACACCCC
rnacentral:sRNA from 1 species